rnacentral:lncRNA from 1 species
GCCCUCAGUAAAUAUUUUAAUUGAAUAAGUAUUAAUCAAUAAUUAGUAACAAAGCAAAAUAUGAUGUAUUUUAUGAUUCUUUCAUUCAAAUUUUAAAAUUUAAGGUAUUCUAUUAUCUGAUGAAAAGUAUUAUCCAACAAAUUAAAGAGUUAUUUUCUGAUAUUUUCUCUGGGCCCCAUGUAUUAAGAUCAGAUUGGAAAUGAUAAGUAUUAUUCCUGAAAAUAAAGUGGCAGUCUCUCCAUAGUUCAACGUGAUGAAAUCUAAAUUAUUCUCACAGAAGUAACCACAUCAAACAUAUGAUGUGAAUUAAACACUAGCAGAUGUUCCUCAUUUAGAGAGUUCAGGUGCAAAGAAAAGACACGGUAUACAGACAGAAGAUGCAGUUAGCCUUGUUAUGAAAUUAUCAAAAAUUGGUGUUUGAAGUGUUUCUGGUCAGUGAAAUUAACACAUUUAUUAUAUUAAUUUUUAAUGUACAAAAAUUUUUAAGUGAAUUUAUACUGAAAUUAUUUAACAACUAUUUUAUACUUGACCAGUCUUACCAGCGCAGUAUGUUAAAGAUUUAAAAUCUGUUGUUCCCUAUUUGAAAUUAGAGGGUUCUGUAUAAAUGCAGCUCAAAGCACUAAAAUUAUUUUCUUUGAAAAUUCUUCUAUAGGUGCUGAAACGGUUCAAGCAGAGUCUAAAUACAGAAACACACACUUCUUCUAUAUUAAAUUGUGGAUUACAGAAAACAAAUCUUUAGAAAUUGAAACUUGUUUGAUUUUGAUGGGAAACUGGGAGUUCUGGAAAGUGACUUUGGCAUGAAAUGAUGUUAUUUGUUUUCACCUCUUCUAUUAAAUGGAGAAUAUCCUUCAAAAGAUUGAGAGAUGACAGACCAGAUGGCAGUCCCGUUGGAAGUGAUCUAAGAAGCUCUGGUAUCACCACUCCUGCCCUGGUAAGACAUUAAAUUUAUGCUUUGAAUUAUCUGUGCUGCCUUUACAUGUCUACAGAGUUAAGCUUUUGGA